AGCUGCUUUUAACAAACAUAAAUAAUAUAACGUACAUUAACAAACAAUAAAAUAAUAACGUAUCCAAGAGUAAUGUGGUAUGCUGUAGAAUUUAAUUACAUUUCUAAUUAUUUUUUUUUAUCGCCGUGUAAACCUGGCUUUAUUUUAGGACCAGAAGAUGUUUAAGAAUAAUUUUUAGUACAAUAAGAGAUACUGUACAGUUACUAACGACAGUUGUGGUUUUUGCAAUCGGAAUAAUCAUCUUUUGGUUUCUUCUUGCUUUCGAAGUAUUCUAACACAAGACGUGUCAAGGACGAGGACAAAAGAAAAUGAAGUAAUUACAGACCCUAUAUAUAUUUUUUUAAAGUUAUUUAGAAUUUUAC